GAUGAACGCUGGCGGCGUGCCUAAUACAUGCAAGUCGAGCGAACAGACGAGGAGCUUGCUCCUCUGACGUUAGCGGCGGACGGGUGAGUAACACGUGGAUAACCUACCUAUAAGACUGGGAUAACUUCGGGAAACCGGAGCUAAUACCGGAUAAUAUAUUGAACCGCAUGGUUCAAUAGUGAAAGACGGUUUUGCUGUCACUUAUAGAUGGAUCCGCGCCGCAUUAGCUAGUUGGUAAGGUAACGGCUUACCAAGGCAACGAUGCGUAGCCGACCUGAGAGGGUGAUCGGCCACACUGGAACUGAGACACGGUCCAGACUCCUACGGGAGGCAGCAGUAGGGAAUCUUCCGCAAUGGGCGAAAGCCUGACGGAGCAACCGCGUGAGUGAUGAAGGUCUUCGGAUCGUAAAACUCUGUUAUUAGGGAAGAACAAAUGUGUAAGUAACUAUGCACGUCUUGACGGUACCUAAUCAGAAAGCCACGGCUAACUACGUG
rnacentral:rRNA from 1 species